CUCGCACGGACCCAGAAAGCCGCUCCUCGGACCGACAGCAAGAUGAUUGGGGGACAGUUGAGCAUGAAGGGGCCGGUCGGUAAAAGCAUUCUCUGGGAUGAAAUGUGAUUCUGCAUCGCUGACAGGUGAGCUGUUCUACGUUGGCCUGCCCUCCAGCUACAGCCUGCCCACCCUGGAGGUCCCCCUGCCGAGGCUCCCCUCCUAAGAAAGCGUCCGAAAGAAGGACCGCCAGAGGCAAAUCCACAUGAUGAUUGCUGACCGUUUUGGCCUCAAUGGACCCAUUGUUACUGAGUCUCCUCCAUCGUAUGAAGAGAGCAUUCAUCAGUUUGUGGAGCUGCCGUACAACAUCCUGUCAUCUAGCCUGGAUGUUUCCCCUCCUCAAAGAGUUUACACCAACAUAAACCCGUGUUACACCACAGAUAGCCCUGUUUUAUGUCCUGUUUGAUGUUGAACAUGUCUUGAAGCUCUGCAUCAGUUUGCUGCAGAACUUUCUGAUCCUGAUACCUCAAACUGAGCCAAAAACGUAUCCAAAGAGGAGCUGCAUCCCAUCUAUGAGAGGCACAUCUGAUUACUAAAACAAAGACAUUAACUUCUCUUAUACCAGGCUGGAACAAAAAAUAAGCAUUCCUGAGCAUAAACUAAGGUGGCGGGACAUCUUUCGGAAGAAGGAACGCAACAAGAAUGAAACCUGCCAAAAAAUAGAUGACCCGUAUUUACUUUUUGUCGAUGGCAGUGGUGUUGUUUAUGUUCCACUUGUAAAUAUGUUUUUAUUUAGUCCAUUUUCAGACUUUUAUUAUUAGGUAAACACACAUCUUAUGUUUUAAAUUUGUAAAUCAGAUAUUUGUUAGUCAAACAGAGCGAGGGAGAAAAAGGGUGCUAAACAUUUCUAUUCAUGAAGAAAAUUGCAUACAGUUAUUUUGAGUUUUAAUUAAGAGGAACGUCUUUUAUUGUGUUUUGUUUUCACUUCACUGUGCGUUAAUGGCUUGGUUUAAUCUAGCA